CUGCAGCUCGAGUGGUGAUCAUGAUUAUUGGGCCUAAAACGUCCGUAGCCGGUUUAGUAAAUGCCUGGGUAAAUCGUGUAGCUUAACUAUACGACUUCCGGGUAGACUGCUAAACUUGAGACCGGGAGAGGCUAGAGGUACUCCUGGGGUAGAGGUGAAAUUCUGUAAUCCUAGGGGGACCACCAGUGGCGAAGGCGUCUAGCUAGAACGGGUCUGACGGUGAGGGACGAAGCCCUGGGGCACAAACCGGAUUAGAUACCCGAGUAGUCC
rnacentral:rRNA from 1 species